UCUCAAUUUAACCCCAAAAUUUCGCUUAUCUUCAUUUCCUCAGGUUCUCCCUCCACUCCUUCACACUACUCCCUCCUUCAAUCCACGCCAUUCUCAGAUUUUCACCCCAAAAAUCUGCCAAAUUUUGCCACUCUUUCACUCCUCCACUUCUCCCUCCUUCACGCUCAGAUUAUUUUGCCCCAAUCUUUUGCCUUCCUCCUUCAAUCUCCCAUCCGGCCUUCCUCCUUCCUUCACGCCUCCGGCACUGGCAGCAACUCAGGACCCAUCAACGGCAGCAACCCACCGGCACCAUCGUCUUCAUUAGCAACCCACCGGCACCAUUGUCUUUCUCAUAAGCAAUGUUGGGUUGUUUUAAUCUGUUGACCUAAUCUAGAUUUUUAAUCGGUUAGGUAUAUUCAUAUGUAUGUAGAAGAUCUUUUUGUGCAGGAUGUUGUAUAUAUGAAAUAGUGGAAGAUCUUUUUGACCUAACUGAAGCCUGCAUAACAAUAAGGCAUUUGUACUUUCACCAUGUUUGUUGGGCUAUUGUGAGGUGUUGAGGAAUACAACUUUACUUUGAUAAAGGUUCAUAUCUGAGAUAGAGGCAGUUUGCAGGCAAUGGUUAGCAGAUGGCUCUAGAAAUUUAUUGGAUACUAUGAAAGUUCUGGUGCAAAGGUAUUAGAGGAUGACAUGAUUGAGAUCUAUGACAAUGCUGUGAGGCCUUAAAUGUAGUUCAGUUCUUGUUUCUUCAGCCCAAUCUCGUUUCUGAUGAAGUGAUUGCACUAUUACCAGAUUCUGAAAGUUCCUUCACUCCUUAAUCCUUAUAGCUAUAAGUGCCAAGGUCAAAGUAUGAUGCUUGUGAGUUGUGACUGAUUAAGCACUAGUGCCACAGAUUGCAUGUGAAUUGUAUUAAAUGUAUGGUUCGGUGUUGUUUAUUCUUAUUAGUAUCAUAAACUUGUAUUGGUAUGAAACUACUAUUGGUGUUACAAUUGCUAUUUGCAAGUGGAUAAUUUGUAUUUUAAAUUAAAUUUACAAAGCAGUGAAUUUUUUUUUUUAUUUU